GAACCUUUAUCCUUGGCACUGGAAGAAUUCACCGUUGAUUAGUUAAAAAACUCGUGGGUUCUUGGGUGCCAAAGACUAAGGAUA
rfam:Tetranychus urticae London genomic scaffold, scaffold_35